ACCUGCUUCUUGGUGGUUCCUGAGCUGUAAGUGGUCAACGCUGGCCGCCCGUGUGAGAGUCUCCUCUCUGGAUCGGUGCUGGCGCCGUGUGAGAGUCUCCUCUCUGGAUCAGUGCUGGUGCCGUGUGAGAGUCUCCUCUCUGGAUCAGUGCUGGUGUCUGUCAGAGUCUCCUCUCUGGAUCAGUGCUGACGCCGUGUUUGAAGUUUCCUCUCUGGAGUCUGGUGCUGUUUUAGCUUCCUGCCGUGGAUCCCUGGAAGACAACAGCCCCGUUCUUCUCUCCUUUGCGGCCCCCUUUCUGUGAGUGACAUAAUGGAAGUCUGUUGGCGAUAACUGUGCAUGCUUACGGGCUACAGUGAGGGAUUCCAACACACAGCGUGUGCCGGGUGAGUCAGGGUGACAGCGUCUCUGCUUCUUUGACGUGACUCCGAUGGAGGCGUGGGCUCCUCUCCCCUGUUUGCGCAUGAAAUCCGUACCAGCUGGGGCGAAUCGGUCGCCCAGCGUGCGGUGCAACACCAGGAACGUGGUCCUGGGGUCCACUCUGACGCGCUUGGCACCUGCCGUCCCAGCUCCCCCGCGACCCUACUCCUCCCGCCGCUGAUAGUCCCCACGCUAUGUGCAGCUGAGCUUUCUGAGCUUCUACAUAGUGGGGGAGGACGCAGCGUUUGCUUCACUUCACACAGAGUCCUCCACGUCUCUCCGUUGUGCUGCAAAUGACGGACGGUCAUUCUUCGCACGGCUGAAUCCCGUUCCAUGGUGUGUUCCUACCGCAUUUUACCUGCUCAUCUGAUGGUGGAGGCCUUGGGGGACUGCACAUCGCGGCUACCGUGAACAGCGCUGCUAUACACGCGGUGGGGCCCACGCUCCCCGAUUCAAUGACUUCAUUCCUUUCUGGUGCACACCCGGCGCCAGGCUUGCUGGGCCCUUUGUUUGACUUACGUCCACUGCCGUGGAAAUGCACUGGACUCCCACGAGGUGGUCAGAAACUCACGGAAGAAGCCUUCAUAGGGGAUUCACGCUGCCAAACAUGUUUCGGUGCAGGGGACGCUGUAUGCAGCUGCACACACAGUACUGCCCGGCCGGUCUCUGGACGUCACUCCUCCUGCAUAGCUGUGACUUUGAGCCCAGUGAGCGGCCGUUCCCCACGUCCCCUCCCUAGGACCCUCUCUGCUGCCCACUUCUGCGUUUGCGAUGCUUCGCGGAAGAGGAACCAGGCAGUGUCUGUGCUGCGGUGACGGACGUUCAGUUUGGAACAGGAUUCUCCAGAUCGGGCCGCGCUGCUCUUUCUUUCUCACGGAUUCCAUGUGCACCUGCACACGGCCUCGGGUUGUUCUCUUCUCUCGGGGACUGAGAGUGAUCCUUCAGUGAACACAGGAGUGCAGGAACGCGACGCCUUUUAGACGCUGGGGCCUGCUGUGUUAGCGUCCACAGUCACAUCAUCAGGCGGUUCCUAGGAGAGCCCAGUGGCGGCUGGAGCGCAUGUCCUAGGCCCCUGCCUUCCUGCCUCUGGGCUGCCAGGACGCCUGCCCACUUCUGCACUGUGCGGCUCAGUUUUCCAGGCUGGACACCAGUUCUCCUCUCAGCUACUUGGCGCCAUUGGCCUUUGACCUGUGCUGAUCAAAAGUGUUGCACAAAUACAAAUGUCACUCAGAACUGGGCGAUUCUACUGGAAACACAAAUUGGACAGCUCCCCGGUAUGAAUGUAGCCUGCGCACUCCUGUCUCAUCCUGACAGCACGCAUACUUGUUCCUGGGCCAUCAGGUUAGCCAUCAAAGCGCCCCAUCCACGCAGUUAUGUGUGUACUCGAUACACGAUAGCCACCAGAAGUUCAGUUUUGGCCAAAACGUGCUAAAGGCAUUUCUCCUAUCAGUAAGACAAGACCUUGGUCUUCUCAUCACAUCAGCUGGGAUGUCAAGCAUGCGUGCUGUUUGCUAUGAGAGAGAGGAAUGGUGAGAGAGAAAGAUCUCCCCUCUGCUCGUUUGCUCCAAGUCUCCCUGCAGCGGCUCAGGGUAGGCCAGGCCAGAGCCUGGAGCUGAGAAGCCAGUGUCAGUCUCCCACAGGGUGGUCGGGGCGCAGCCACUCGGGACACCACUGCCACCUCCACGACCUGCGUUAGCAGGGAGCUGGAGUCGGGAGCCGAGCUGGGUGCUGGACCCAGGGGCUCUGCGCUGGAGCGUGCUGUGUCCAGUGUCCACGCCAGGGGGAGCCGAGCCGUGAGACAUGUAGGCAGCCGAGUCUUUGUCAGGACAGCGGGUCUUUGGCGUGGUAGGCGGGGAUGGCAGGACUACCGGCGUGGAAGGGAUGACCGAGCCCACAUCACGCUGUUCUGCAAUGACAAUGACUUCAGAGCCUCCUGGAGUCUCCUGUUAAUUACUGGAUUUCAUAAACAAAGCAUUUCACCAGCAUAAUUCAUCGUGAGGCCGCAUUUAAUACCAUGCUAUAAAACAAAUCGAGUGCGCCUCUUGUUAAACACGCCUGGCAGCUUGAAAUAUUAACUCGACACACUGAGUCGAGCAGUUGAUUAAACAGGGGGGGUUAUUGAAUUACGCUUUUAUGAGGCACAUUAUGCGUAGAGAAAUAGAUCAUUUAUUAUGACGAACAUACCGUUUAUAAUGACACAUAUUGAUUUUAUUCUCGGAAUUUUCCACUUGACUUCUAAUCAUUGCAAUUUAUCACUUAGUUUGAUGAGUUUAAUCUUAAACAAAAAUUAGAUCCCAGCCUUCCCCCACCCCCAUUUAUUGGGGAUUGUUUAAGAAAUAAAGCGCAGAUUUCCAUUUUGGUGGCCUCUGUG
ensembl:lncRNA